UGAUCCCUACAGAGGCAUGACCUUAUGGAUCAGGAAAAGGAGUAGAGCCUGGUGGACAUAAGACUCCCAAAGGGAAGUCCUCUAUAUGGCGGAUAUGCCUUCUAAGAAUCUCAUAGUCAUCACUGAUACCUCUACAGUGGGAUUGAUCGUUGCAUCUAGAUCUGGACCUAACGAUAUCUGAAAUGGAGAUUUGAGAAUAAGAAACUAGGAAUUCAUGCCAGUCUUUAACCCGUGGAUACACUGCCUUACUUGGUAGAGCACAGCAUGCCAAAAUAGCCUUUAAAUUAUGACAGAUUCUCAUGCACAUUGCAGAUGAUCAUGCACACAGAGCUGGCAGCUGAGAAAAACAGACGAUCACCACGUGACUGGGCAGGGCAGGACAGUGCUGGCACGAG